rnacentral:rRNA from 1 species
CGGGGUGAGUAAUGUCUGGGAAGCUGCCUGAUGGAGGGGGAUAACUACUGGAAACGGUAGCUAAUACCGCAUAACGUCGCAAGACCAAAGAGGGGGACCUUAGGGCCUCUUGCCAUCGGAUGUGCCCAGAUGGGAUUAGCUAGUAGGUGGGGUAACGGCUCACCUAGGCGACGAUCCCUAGCUGGUCUGAGAGGAUGACCAGCCACACUGGAACUGAGACACGGUCCAG